AGCUGGUCUGAGGAGGAUGAUCAGCCACCACUGAACUGAGACACGUCAGACUCUACGGAGGCAGCAGUGGGAUAUGCACAAUGGGCGCAAGCUGAUGCAGCCAUGCCGCGUGUGUGAAGAAGCCUUCGGGUGUAAAGCACUUUCAGUCGUGAGGAAGGUAGUGUAGUUAAUAGCUGCAUUAUUUGACGUUAGCGACAGAAGAAGCACCGGCUAACUCCGUGCCAGCAGCCGCGGUAAUACGGAGGGUGCGAGCGUUAAUCGGAAUUACUGGGCGUAAAGCGCAUGCAGGUGGUUUGUUAAGUCAGAUGUGAAAGCCCGGGGCUCAACCUCGGAAUUGCAUUUGAAACUGGCAGACUAGAGUACUGUAGAGGGGGGUAGAAUUUCAGGUGUAGCGGUGAAAUGCGUAGAGAUCUGAAGGAAUACCGGUGGCGAAGGCGGCCCCCUGGACAGAUACUGACACUCAGAUGCGAAAGCGUGGGGAGCAAACAGGAUUAGAUACCCUGGUAGUCCACGCCGUAAACGAUGUCUACUUGGAGGUUGUGGCCUUGAGCCGUGGCUUUCGGAGCUAACGCGUUAAGUAGACCGCCUGGGGAGUACGGUCGCAAGAUUAAAACUCAAAUGAAUUGACGGGGGCCCGCACAAGCGGUGGAGCAUGUGGUUUAAUUCGAUGCAACGCGAAGAACCUUACCUACUCUUGACAUCCAGAGAACUUUCCAGAGAUGGAUUGGUGCCUUCGGGAACUCUGAGACAGGUGCUGCAUGGCUGUCGUCAGCUCGUGUUGUGAAAUGUUGGGUUAAGUCCCGCAACGAGCGCAACCCUUAUCCUUGUUUGCCAGCGAGUAAUGUCGGGAACUCCAGGGAGACUGCCGGUGAUAAACCGGAGGAAGGUGGGGACGACGUCAAGUCAUCAUGGCCCUUACGAGUAGGGCUACACACGUGCUACAAUGGCGCAUACAGAGGGCAGCCAACUUGCGAAAGUGAGCGAAUCCCAAAAAGUGCGUCGUAGUCCGGAUUGGAGUCUGCAACUCGACUCCAUGAAGUCGGAAUCGCUAGUAAUCGUGGAUCAGAAUGCCACGGUGAAUACGUUCCCGGGCCUUGUACACACCGCCCGUCACACCAUGGGAGUGGGCUGCAAAAGAAGUAGGUAGUUUAACCUUCGGGGGGACGCUUACCACUUAGUUAGUGG
rnacentral:rRNA from 1 species